CAGGGUGUGGCGUAGCAGCGAACGCACGAGGCUGGGGGCCUCGGGAUCGGGGGUGCGAGUCCCUCCACCCUGA
rnacentral:tRNA from 1 species